UACGUAGGUGGCAAGCGUUGUCCGGAAUUAUUGGGCGUAAAGCGCGCGCAGGCGGUCCUUUAAGUCUGAUGUGAAAGCCCACGGCUCAACCGUGGAGGGUCAUUGGAAACUGGGGGACUUGAGUACAGAAGAGAAGAGUGGAAUUCCACGUGUAGCGGUGAAAUGCGUAGAGAUGUGGAGGAACACCAGUGGCGAAAGCGACUUUCUGGUCCUUAACUGACGCUGAGGCGCGAAAGCAUGGGGAGCGAACGGG
rnacentral:rRNA from 1 species